ACAUUGGGUUCCGAGACCAUCACUACUUCUAUCAACUAGCAGAAUACCCAUCUUGACACUAUGGGAAGUGCCUCAAGUCACCAUGAAUGAUUCCUUAUAUUACACACAUUAGGAGCAUAUAAUGGUAUAUUAGUAUUAUUAUUCUCUUUAGAGUAAAAGUUCAAUGUUACAAUGUAGAAUAGGCUACUAUUUCGUUAACCUUUGCCAACUGUCACUUUCAUUUGUGCAUUUGUGUAUUAGGUUUCUUAGUCUCCACCAACUACACUGCAGAAGAUUCCCAGGUUUCCUUGAUUGCUUUGUAAAGGGAAAGAAUUUCGAGUGACAUCAUCCAGCAUUUUCAUUACAAGGAAUACAAUUACCAAAAGGGAGAAAAGGAAAGGAAAGCAGAGUGAGGCAGAGGCACCAAAUCAAAAAGUAUGGAAAGAGCUUUUCUGCUUGACUCUGACUAUCCUGAUCUCUGCCUGCCCCAACCUGUGCCUGAAAUUCCAACCCCAUGGAUACAGUGCAUUAGACUUAAUCUGCCUACCUGAACACAGCUUCCGCCUUGGUUCUGAUUGGUCUCUGAACUUAAGAAGCUUGAACGAAUGAAAAAAAAGUAAUGGAAAAUCACAAAAACUGCAACUUUUUCGA